rnacentral:rRNA from 1 species
GUGGGGAAUUUUCCGCAAUGGGCGCAAGCCUGACGGAGUGACGCCGCGUGGGGGACGAAGGCCUUCGGGUCGUAAACCCCUGUCAGAGGGAAAGAAGGGUGGCGCGGGGAAGAGCCGCGUCAGUUGACGGUACCUUCAGAGGAAGCCCCGGCCAACUCUGUGCCAGCAGCCGCGGUAAGACAGAGGGGGCAAGCGUUGCUCGGAAUCACUGGGCGUAAAGGGCGCGUAGGCGGGAGGGCAAGGCGGUCGUGAAAUUCUCGGGCUCAACCCGAGGGGGUCGGCCGCGACUGCCGUUCUUGAGGGAGGCAGAGGGGUCUGGAAUUCCCGGUGUAGCGGUGAAAUGUGUAGAGAUCGGGAGGAACACCGGUGGCGAAGGCGGGACCCUGGGCCUCAACUGACGCUGAGGCGCGAAAGCGUGGGGAGCAAACGGGAUUAGAUACCCCUGUAGUCC